CUAUAAAUACUAAAGAAAAGACAAAAGACUGCAAUGAAGACGUUAAACAUUCCCUCCCCACUAUCAGUGUUUCCCACACAACAGCUGCAGGAGCACUAAAAGGACGGAAUUACCCCUGGACUGUCCCUUGAGGGUAAGUGGGCUGAUUCUGCUCAUUUGGGUUGUCACCUAUGGGCUGCUUCUUCUUCUUGCGAGUGUAAACAUGAAGGAGUGGAGGCUUAUCAACACCGGCGGCCCAAACUUUAACCUUGUCCUCAAGGUUAAAAUUGGGAAACUGCAUGUUCACUUUGGAGAAAUCUUCCCACGUUGCUUCCAACUCUGUUAGCCCCUCCCAUUGAAUUAAAACUUAUUUUUCUGUAGCCCCUCCAUUCUUCUUAUAUCGAACCCCUCGCACUUCUUCUGGGUGGGCCAUCAGCUCUAAGUCUUCGUUGAGCUGAGGAGGCAAAUCCCUUGCUGGAGUUGGAGUUCCCAUGGCAGCCUUGAGCUGUGAUACAUGAAAUGUAGGAUGGAUCUUAGUGGUAGAUGGUAGUUCAAGCUUAUAAGCAACCUUCCUAAUUCUUUCUUGAAUACAAAAGGGCCCGUAAUAACGAGGGGCCAACUUCUCUGAUUUCCUACGAGCCAAACUCUUUUGCCUGUAGGGUCGUAAUUUCAGGUAUACCCAGUCACCAACCUGGUAUUCCAAGUCCCUCCUUUUCCUGUUAGCUUGAAUUUGCAUCCUUUGAUGGGACCUGAUUAGAUUCAUCUUAAGAUCAUCCAGGUUAUUGUCUCUAUCUUCCAGUAGCUGGUCAAGAGCAUCCACUGAGGUUUGUUGUCCCUCGUAUCUGAUCAGGGGUGGGGGGUCUCGCCCAUAUAGGGCCUUGAAAGGAGUAAGACCUGUGGCUGAAUGGUAGGAGCUAUUAUACCAGUAUUCAGCCCAAGACAACCAGUUAGCCCACUGUCUUGGUUUACUUGAGCAAAAACAACGAAGGUAGGUCUCGAGACAGCGAUUUACUACUUCCGACUGCCCAUCCGAUUGGGGAUGAUAAGUCGUGCUGCGUUUCAGAUCUACCCCAUGGAGCUUGAAAAGCUCUCUCCAGAAUUGACUUAAGAAUAUUUUGUCCCUAUCACUGAUAAUGGCUAAAGGCAUCCCGUGCAACUUCACCACCUCGGUCAUGAACUUACUUGCCACAGUAGCUGCUGAAAAUGGGUGUUUUAGUGGUAUGAAAUGGCUGUAUUUGCUAAGGCGGUCUACCACAACCCAUAUCGUAUCCCACCCCUUAGAUUGAGGUAAGCCUUCUACAAAAUCCAUGGUGAUUUCGUCCCAGACCUGGUCAGGUAUUGGAAUUGGCUGAAGUAACCCGGUCGGAGAGGUGGUGAGAGUCUUGUGUUGCUGACAGAUGGUGCACUUUUUGACAAAUUCUGUGAUAGCUUCUCUCAUUCCGAUCCAAUACACUUCUGAUGCUGCCCGUUGGUAGGUUUUCUUGAUUCCCGAGUGACCUCCGAUUGGGGAGUCGUGAAAUAUCGAGAUAAUUUCUGGAAUUAGCGGGGAAGCGGCGGGAAUUACCAGUCAUCCUUUGUACAUCAAGUUCCCAAAGAAAACUGAAAAACCUUUAUGGUUUUGAGGACUAGUUUCCAAGUCCUGUUUCACCUUUUUCACAAAUUCAUCUUGUUCCAAUUCUUUUUUAAGUUUGUCCCAGCUUCCCCAUAGUGUCAUUCUUACUGAAUUGCAUGCAAUGGUAGUGUCCUGCCGUGACAGGGCAUCCGCCACUCGGUUACUGGCUCUGGUGCGGUAUUGUACCUCGAAAUCAAAACCCAUCAACUUAAUUACCCACCGUUGGUAGUCAUUUCCAAUCAUGCGUUGUUCCAGAAUGUAUUUCAGACUUUUCUGGUCCGUUCUGACCACAAACCUUCGUCCCAACAAAUAGGGCCUCCAUUUGAUAACCGCUUUCACAAUCGCCAUGAGUUCUUUUUCGUAGAUGGAUUUCUCUCUUGCCCUAACUCCCAGAGUAAAGCUAUAAUAGGCCACCGGUCGAUUGUUUUGCGAUAACACCGCCCCUAAUCCAAAGUCGGAGGCAUCCGUCUCAACCACAAAGGUUUGCUGGAAAUCGGGCAUAGCUAGGACCGGUAGGAUAGUCAUGGCCUUCUUAAGGUUUUGAAAAGCUUCUUCCGCCUUGUCCCCCCAACCAAACCGAUCCUUCUUAAGCUGCUCUGUCAAGGGAAGGGCAAUUUAGGCGUAAUUCCGGACAAACUACCGGUAAUAACCAGUGAGCCCAAGGAAUCCCCUUAGCUCCUUGAUGUUACGUGGGGUGGGCCAUUCCAACAUUGACCCAAUCUUUUCUCCUUCUACCGAUACCCCCUCACUAGAGAUGACAUGACCUAAAUACGAGAGCCUUGUUUUUCCAAACUCGCAUUUUUUUAAGUUCAAGUACAUCUGAUGUUCUUCCAGUUUUUUGAAAGCUAUUGUUAAGUGUUGUUGGUGGACCUCGUUAUUUGGGCUGUAAACGAGAAUAUCAUCGAAGAAGACAAGAAUGAACUUCCGCAAAUAGGGCCGAAAGAUUUCAUUCAUUAGGGCCUGGAAGGUCGCCGGGGCGUUAGUAAGACCGAAUGGCAUUACUUUAAACUCGUAAUGUCCGUCGUGGGUUCUGAAAGCUGUCUUGUGAACAUCUGUUGCCCGGACACGGAUUUGGUGAUACCCAGAACGUAAGUCCAGCUUGCUGAAAAUUGAAGACCCAUGGAGCUCGUCAAGUAGCUCGUCAAUAACUGGAAUGGGAAACUUGUCGGGAAUGGUGGCUCGGUUUAAGGCCCGAUAAUCCACGCAAAAUCUCCAUGAACCGUCUUUCUUUUUGACUAAGAUGACGGGGCUUGAGUAUGGACUGGUGCUUGGUUGAAUGACCCCGGCUCUUAACAUCUCCUGGAUCAUCUUCUCUAUCUCAUUUUUUUGAAAAUGAGGAUAGCGAUAUGGUCUAACACUGACCGGUAGAGACCCCUCCUUUAACUUGAUCUGAUGUUGGAUGGACCGGACCGGCGGUAGCCCUUUUUGCUCACUGAAUAAAUCUCGGUACCGUUCCAAGACCCCUGCCAAGAAUUUCGGAAUCGGAGGUGAGCUUGUGACCUGCAGUUCGACAUUGCUUAGCUCUACCAAUACACAUGGUUCUUUCCUUCUCAAUUCACGUGCCAUGGCCUUAAGAGAGAUAAGAGACUUCCCGAGAGAACGAUCCCCCUUGAGACAAACCGGAUUUCCAGCCACUUCGAACGCCAUUGACUGUUCUUUCCAAUUUGUUUGGGUGGUUCCCAGCGUUUCCAACCAUUUCAUUCCUAGGAUCACGUCUGAACUUCCCAGCCUAAGAGGAAGGAAUUCCUCCACUAUGUCGAUCUCAUGAAGCUGUAAGAGGAACCCUUUACAAAUGCCUUGCCCCUCUUCACAAUCACCUGUACCCAUCCGAACCCCAUAAGGUUCUGUCUCUUGCACCGGAAUGCCCAAGUCCUCCACGAGAUUGAGGGAGAUGAAAUUAUGGGUGGCUCCUGGGUCAACUAAAGCCACCACCGGCUGACCCAUCACGUGGCCCCUUAACUUCAUGGUUUUUGGAGAGGAUAGCCCUGCCACCGAAUUGAGAGAUACCUCAACCAUGUCUUCCACUUCCAUCGAGACCAAGGUAGUUGGGUCGGUUUCUUUUGGUUCCAGGUCUGGGUCUUCUUCCCCUUCUCGGUCUUCUGAUUCCUCGAUCAGGAUGACAUUGAUUUGCGUCUUGCAUCGAUGCCCUUUGUUCCAUUCUUCGUUACAUUUGUAACAGAGCCCCUUCGAACGUCGUUCUUGGAUUUGCGCUUCCGUCAAACGUUGAUUUUGUGUCGUUGCCCUAAUCGAGUUUGGAUUAACCAUAUUCAGAGUCGGGUAAGUACCUGAUGGCGACGACUUUCCGGGUAUGGGUUUUCGGACUCCCAAAGACCCAAGUAAACUGGCCUUGAGGUUCCGUAGCCUUUGUUCUGCUUGCUGGGCCAGGUCCAUGGCUUGACCCAAAUCUUGAGGAGCCUACAUAUGGAGUUCAUCCCGUAUCUCCUGUUUCAAGCCUUUCAAGAAACUUGCGAUAGCAACAUCGUUGGAGACUCCUUCCAGAGGAAUAGCAAGUUCGAUGUACCGUCGUACAUACUCAACGGUGGUGGUGGUUUGCGUUAACGAAUUCCAUUGCUCGUAAAUGUUGCCUCCCAGCACCGGUCGGAAUUUCUUGAGGAAUAAGGCUUUCAUUUGUUCCCACGUCACCACCGGCUGUUGAUUGUGUGACCAUCGAUACCAGGAAAGGGCAUCCCCGCUGAGCGCAAGGAUUGCUGCUUCGAGUUUCUCCCCGUUGUUUAGUUGAUAAAUGGUGAAGUAGCGCUUCGCUUGUAGUAUCCACCCAUCUGGGUCCGACCCAUCAAAGCCCGGCAUGUCAAUCUUACGAUGGCGAUACUUAUACUUCCCUCUCCCAGAUUCCAUCGGUGGAACAGUCCCAAAAAUGAUGGGAGGGUUUCCAGAAUUGAAUCCACCAGAACUGGAGCCACCAUGACCGGAUCCUCCUGUUCCCGGUCCUUUCGUUCCCUUGUUCUUGUUCAUCGGGUCAUUUGGAGGAGUAACGAUACCAGAGUUUGGAGUUCCUGACGUUCCUCUUCCUGCUGCUGGGUUUGCUUCACUUCUUUCUAGCAACACGUUCAUAGUCUGCUUCAUUUCAUCUUGCCCUUGGAGGAUCACCUCCAUCCUUGAUUUCAUCUCUUGAAUAUCCACUCCAUGGGAUUGGAGUUGGAUCUGCAUCACUCCAACUUGUUCCUCAAUUUUCUUAGCUGCAGCAGCUUCCUUUGAUGCCCCUCCCAUCGGAUGAAAGUGCUCUGAUACCACUUGAUAAGCUCACACUAAGGAUUGAUUAUCUAAACUGGAAACUGAAUACGCGAUAAAUGGAGAUGAACUAAAACGAUUUUCAUAGAACAAAAGGAUAGGUCUCACUUUCGAGAGGUGAGUGCUCUCCAAGUUUUUGCACAAGCAAUUACAAAUUUUCACAUAAACAAAAAGGCAAUAUCUCCAGCUAUAAAUACUAAAGAAAAGACAAAAGACUGCAAUGAAGACGUUAAACAUUCCCUCCCCACUACCAGUGUUUCCCACACAGCAACUGCAGGAGCACUAAAAGGACGGAAUUACCCUUGGACUGUCCCUUGAGGGUAAGUGGGCUGAUUCUACUAAUUUGGGCUGUCACCUAUGGGUUGCUUCUUCUUCUUGCGAGUGUAAACAUGAAGGAGUGGAGGCUUAUCACAUUCCCAAAAAAAGGCUAAUAAAUUUUAUAAAUAAUAUAAUUCCAACCAAAAUUUGCAUCCGAAUGAAAAAUACUUGCCAUUGUCACAUAUUAAUAUUUUUAACCAAAAAUAAAAAAAUAAUUACUUUUUCGCUCAUUUUAGCAAAUGAGAGUUUUUAAU
rnacentral:lncRNA from 1 species